CUGAAAGAAAAUAUCUCAAGUUUUUUUUAGUAAAUCCUGAUCACAGAAUCGGAAUAGGGAAUUCGAUGUUCCUCCUCCCAUGCAACUCCAACUCCGGAUAAGCCGAUGCUCUCUACCUUUGCACCGACUGCCCAAAAUUUUGGCCGUCUCCCUCAAUGCUGGGGACAAAUUUUGGGAGCUCAUGAGCUCACGGCCUACGUUAAAACAGCAACAAGCGGGCCCUCAUUGAUUACGCUCGGCCACAAAUCCACGCUCCAAUAUCCGCCACGAUUCCAAUUUUGGCCGUCUUCAAACAAAAACCUUACGGCCACCACCGGCAGACCGCGAUCCUCGCCUGCGACGCCGAGCUCCGUCUCUCCUCGCCGAGACCCAACGAUGCCGGGCACCAUCCAAGUCUCUGUGCUGGAGUUGGUGGACCUCCCUCCACCUCCCGCGCCGUGCCCAUCGGAAGCCAAUUCCAGCUUCGUCUCUUUGAAGGUUGUGAUGGGGAAGAGAGAGUACCAGAGCGUGGGCAGAGGGCACUUCUUGUUCCCGGUGACUUCUCUGCGCGAGAAUCUGAUCUUGAUGCUGCACGACAUGGCGGGGAAUUUGUUAUCCCGGACAGAGUUCAAAAUCAGGUUGGUGGUGGAGAAGGGAAUUUGGGAUGAUGUGUUUCCCCUAGAGGGCGGUGGAAGUGUCCGCAUGAAGCUGCAGUUCGUACUUAGUGAAGAAGAACGCCAAAGGAUUCAUGAAAUGAGGUACUCCGCACUAAAAAGGAAACACAUGGAACUACUCAAGGGUGGCUGUGAAAGUCCUGUUUCUGAACUUAAUGCAGAAGGAGAUGGGAUCGGCCGGUUAAAGCAAAUAGACCCAGAUGUCCCUGAUUUUACUGGAGUAGACGAAGAAAAAAACAAGACACAAACAGCUCCUGGUGGUAUUAUAGAAAGGCAAUUUUCUUCAUGUGAAGGUUUGGAUCCUCAUAUAGGAUGCUUAGGAUCCCCAAUAUCAGGGAAUGUUACUACAGACAGCAUUUCUGUUUCUGCUGAAUUGGAUGAUCACAUCUGUAGCCCCAAGAAGAAGAAUUUGCUGGAGAGAGGUUCAAGCAGCAGUGUUAGGAAAAUAAUAAGUGCCUUCGAAAAUAGUCUAUUUCAGGGAACAGGAUAUCAUGUUGGCCAAGGAUCAGCAUCACAGUCAAGCAAGCUCGAGAGUGGAGGUUCGACGAAGAGGACAUCUUCAGAAGAAAGUGUUAUAAGAAAGUUAAAAUUUCCCCAGACCAUGGCAAAGUCCUUUUCUGCAGAGAUGCUCUCUGAGAUUGAUUCACAAUGCAAUCCGAUGUUUGUCAAAUCACCCUUUUUAAAGAAACAAGAAAGACUGCAGUACUUUAAUAAUGUUACCAGGCAGGAAAUGAUUGGAAAGAACAGACCUUUUCGGAACUUUGCAGCGAACCAGAAUUUCAAAAGCUUUAAACCUGAUAAACAGAAGUCUGUUGGAGUGGCAAAUGAUGGGAGCUCUUCUUUGGAAUCUCUCCAUACUGCACAGUCACAUAAUUCUAAGAACAUAGAUACUGUUUCAGAAUCUGUCAACACUGAAAAUGUUGUUAGCUUUGGUGGCUCUGCGGAACAUAUGAGUAAGAGAAAAGAGCCCAUUUCUAUUGAGAAGAAAGUAAACAUGGGUUCUUUUCCAAAUGAGUGUCAUAGUCUGAUUGCCUGCACUGUACAGAAAAUUCCAGGUGAAAGGUCCUUAGUUUAUGAUGGUGAAAAACUGAAGGCUUUGGGAACCAGACGGAAACCUUGUGAAACUGAACAGACGGGCAGCCUGGGUGGAUCUGUCAGAAACAUCUCUGAAAGAGAAGAUUCUCUAGCUAGCAAAGUUGGGAAAAGCCCUUUGAUCAUAUCCAAGCAUAGAAAGUCUAGCGCAUUUGAGGAAAAACCAAAGGUAAAUAUUUUUCUGAAGGAAGCUUAUAGUUUGGAUGCACAUACUUCUAGUCUGUGCACAUGCAACCAGGGAAGUGCUAUCAAUGCAUUUACAAAUGAGAGUGACAGGAGAUGCUAUAGAAGUCAUGUGGAGGAGCGAAUUAUUUCUAGAAACUCAGAAUUCCUGGAACUCUUAUCUUCUUAUAGAGAAAAAUGUUUAUUUGGAAAAGUUGGUGUCUGGGUGCCACGUCAUUUGUGCAUUACUACUGGCAGUAAACAGUUGAUGAAUCUUGUCGAGUCUUGUAGUUUAUGCCUAGGAACACCACCCUCAGAGAAAAACCCGUUCACAACGGAAGCUAAUAAAAAGGUCCAUAUUUCUUUCUCCCAAAGUUCUGUACCUUUUCUUGUAUGAAUAGCUCUCCUUGAAAUCUCGUCAUUAUAUGAAAUGAAAUGACUCAGAUGGCUAUUUUAGUUUUCAACCAUUUUCAAAUUUGGAGAAAAGUAAGAGGCUAAGUUUGUUUAGAGUGCUACUGAGAAAGCGCAGGAGCGUACCAGUUGGAGGUAAAAGUGACUGAUCAGAUUUGGGUGGUUACAGUAGGGUUGCUACUUUAGUGAGGUUAUCUCAUACAUGGGCCUGACACAAUAUUCAUGUUGAGUCGGGAGCUCAUAUUUGGGGUUGCUAAUGGCUCGAGCAACUUAACCAAUUCAAACCUAACUAAUAUUUGUAUCACUUUAUCUCAACUAAAACAACUGAAAUUGUUACUGCACAGAACAGAUUAUACUUGACCCAGCAACCCAACCUAAACUAUUUCACAUGUGCACACAUGCUGCAUGCCACAUACGACAGACACAUUCAGCAUUACUCUAUCUGUUUGCCUAUCUAUAUCAAUAUGUAAAUAAAGAUAAAAUAGAUGUGGAAGCUUCCACUGUUAUCCUUUAUAGCAAUGAAUGGUGAAGAAGUUUCCACAAAGCUGACCCCUUUAGAGCUGGGAUAAGGAUUGUUCUCAUGCUUUUUGGUUUUACUGUUUGAGUCAGAUUGCAAAAAUUUUGCAAAGAAAUAUUCAUUAGUUGCAUGUUAUUAGACUAAUAACUUAUAAGAAAAUAUUUCCUGGCUAAAAUUAUGUAUCUGUACCAGUGUUAGAUAACUGCUGCUUAGAGAAUGAUCAUUGGAUUUCAGAUGAGUAGAAUCUUUGAUAGCCAUCAAGGAAUGAUCUCGAAUGUUGCAAGGACUUUACAUACAUGGUAUCAUAAGGAACAUAAGAUUUUUCCCCUCUAUAUAAUUAUUAUGCUGGUAAUACAUAUAAACAUAGCAAGCUGAUAUAGGUUGUUUUUGUGAAUCCUUUAUUGCUUUUUUAUAUUUUAUAUCCAACCAAAGUCUUUAGACUAGAAAACUUUCUUCAAAUCUCUCAUCGUGAGUUUCCAUCUAAAUCUUGUUGAAUCUUCCCCACAUGUCAUAUUGCCUUUAAACAGAAAUAAAGCCUUGCUUGUCAUUUCUUUCAAACUUUCUGAAGUGGUUUUCUCUUUCUUUAUAUUCUUGAGUUUCUUUUAUGUACUCAUUUGUACCAUAUUCUUCCUGAUUUUACCAUAAUUCAAGCCCAAAACAUUCAUGUCCAUUGAUUGUAGUUGGUAUUGCCUCCAUUACUGCUUAACCUUUGAUUCAUAUGGUAGAGGGCGAGCCUUGGUGCAAUGGUAACGUUUCUCUAUAGUGAACUAGGUGUCGCAUGUUCAAAAUACGGAAACAGCCUCUUCGCAUGCCGGGGCAAAGCUGUGUACAUUCGACCCUCUCUAAACUCUGCAGCAGCAGGAGCUUCGUGCAUUGGAAUGUCCUUCUUAAAAUACCCAUCCUAUAUGGCAAAUAUCUGAGAAUCAAAAGAUGCACCUUGAAGUGACUAGAAACGAGAAGUUUUCAUGUAGUUCUGAAAAAUUCAACCAUGAAAACAAAGUGAGCAAUUCAAAUUUUAAUGGAAUGUUGAUUGAACAGGGAGUACGAGUUAUUGUUGUAAUAGUAGCUUGUGCGACACUUCUUCUCAAUACAAGAUAAAGAAAGCCCAGUGCUAGCUCUAAAAGCAAGCAAAGGGGCAGUUAUGGUGCUGCAAGACAGAUAAUAAAUGUCAGAAGUUCAGUCUAUAUGAAUCUCUUCUCUCCAGCAAAUUCUCCAAUCACCAGUCAGGGACCGAUAACUGAAGUUUUUUGGAAUCAACUAAAGUAUACUGAGUUUAUAGAGCUUGGUUCUGAGUUGGUUUAGCCAUCUCAUUUUUCCUGUGAAGUUCUCGAUGCUGAUGGCAAUGGAGAUAUGGUCAUAAAGACCUCUCGAGUGUUGAUGGAUUAUAUGAGAUGACUUCGAAUCUGAGAUUAAGGUGAAGGAACCAUGUAUCAAAGAGGUUUGGAUCAAGAAUCUCUUGAUAUCCAUGACUUGGCUUGUGGACCUGAUGAACUUAGAGCGAUGAAAUAAGAGCUAGCAACAGCAAAACCAUUCCAAGGUCUAUAACAAUUCUUUUGUUUUUUUCUUUCUGCUGUUUUCUCUCCUGAGGGCUUCUCAUGCCUGUUAUGUAAAACAAAACAAUGUUGAUGAAAAAAAAUUAGAUUUUAUCUUUCCAAAA